rnacentral:lncRNA from 1 species
UUCUCAGCCUGAUUGCCUUUUGCUUACUAAGAACAGCAACUGAUUUCUAUUGGACAACUGUGUAAUUGUGUGGUGGUGUAGGGAACAACCAUUAUACUCCAAUUCCUUCAUCUGGUAAACGGGAACAUGAGUGUAUGGGAAUUGCUAAGUCACAGCCUGAACCAAUGAGUGAGCACUUUGUGAAGAGACACAGCCUGCCCUGGGAACACAGGUGAAAGCAAUUCACCUGUGCCACAGAAAGGGUGGAACCAGGUUCCACCCCUAAGCCUCAUUUAAGGACUGGUUGCCACCUGGGAACACUCUCUGUCUGGCGAUCCUUUCUUCUGGGUUAUUUGGUGGGUCCUGUUCCUCAGGAUAGGUGAGCAAAUCUUUCUUUGACUGGAUUGUGACUAUCACUCUUUUUUGAGUAAUUUAGAACUGGUUGUCUGCCAUUGCCUUUCCAUACAAUUACUUCUAUUUCUCAGAGGCUCAAUUUAGAGUUUAAUAAUCGGCUAACAAAUUCACAAAGCCACUUUAAUUUCAUCUUCAGCUCUUGUGUUACUCUCCUUCCUGAACUCAAUAGCGGCAUCACAAGAUAAAAUGGGAUGUGCCCUACCAGCCCCUAUGAUAUCAGAAACAGCAAAUACACUGUCCGAAGGCUGUAGACUGCCAACGCUAAAGAUACAAGCUGCAGUAACUUGCAUGAUGAGCCACAGUGUCUGUCAGCUGUCGAGGAGAACAAGAACUGACCUGUUUCUGCGUUCAUGGAGACAUAACCAGUGUAAAUAUGGUCCCAUUGUCCUGGCCCUCCAGGAUUGUUAG